CAUGCAAGUCGAGGGGAAACGAUAUUGGAAGCUUGCUUCCGAUAGGCGUCGACCGGCGCACGGGUGAGUAACGCGUAUCCAACCUGCCCACCACUUGGGGAUAACCUUGCGAAAGUAAGACUAAUACCCAAUGACGUCUCUAGAAGACAUCUGAAAGAGAUUAAAGAUUUAUCGGUGAUGGAUGGGGAUGCGUCUGAUUAGCUUGUUGGCGGGGUAACGGCCCACCAAGGCUACGAUCAGUAGGGGUUCUGAGAGGAAGGUCCCCCACAUUGGAACUGAGACACGGUCCAAACUCCUACGGGAGGCAGCAGUGAGGAAUAUUGGUCAAUGGACGAGAGUCUGAACCAGCCAAGUAGCGUGCAGGAUGACGGCCCUAUGGGUUGUAAACUGCUUUUAUAAGGGAAUAAAGUGAGUCUCGUGAGACUUUUUGCAUGUACCUUAUGAAUAAGGACCGGCUAAUUCCGUGCCAGCAGCCGCGGUAAUACGGAAGGUCCGGGCGUUAUCCGGAUUUAUUGGGUUUAAAGGGAGCGUAGGCCGGAGAUUAAGCGUGUUGUGAAAUGUAGACGCUCAACGUCUGCACUGCAGCGCGAACUGGUUUCCUUGAGUACGCACAAAGUGGGCGGAAUUCGUGGUGUAGCGGUGAAAUGCUUAGAUAUCACGAAGAACUCCGAUUGCGAAGGCAGCUCACUGGAGCGCAACUGACGCUGAAGCUCGAAAGUGCGG
rnacentral:rRNA from 1 species